GGUUUGAUGAACAUGCAUGUUUUUAGAGAGUAAAUAAAGACAAGGAAUAUAAACAGCGUAGUGGUGUAUGUUGGGAUGGUGGUAAGGGUGGAAGUUAAAACCAUAGGAUUACAGGGGUCGAUUUCAAACCAGUAAACACACAAAGAUGAAAUGAAAGCAAACCCUCCUAUAUAGAUUAUGCCAUGGACAAAUAAAUAGAAUUUCUUUAUAUAAGAAGGAGUAGAUGAUAUAAAGACAGGUAUUAAAU
rnacentral:lncRNA from 1 species